GACGUAGGGGACGAGCGUUGUCCGGAUUCAUUGGGCGUAAAGCGCGUGUAGGCGGCCAGAAAAGUCCGCUGUGAAAACUCGAGGCUCAACUUCGAGCUGUCGGUGGAAACUUUCUGGCUAGAGUCCGGAAGAGGAGAAUGGAAUUCCUGGUGUAGCGGUGAAAUGCGCAGAUAUCAGGAAGAACACCCGUGGCGAAGGCGGUUCUCUGGGACGGUACUGACGCUGAGGAGCGAAAGCGUGGGUAGCAAACAGG
rnacentral:rRNA from 1 species